rnacentral:rRNA from 1 species
UAGGGAAUCUUCGNUUAAUGGACGGAAGUCUGACCGAGCAACGCCGCGUGAGUGAAGAAGGUUUUCGGAUCGUAAAGCUCUGUUGUAAGAGAAGAACGAGUGUGAGAGUGGAAAGUUCACACUGUGACGGUAUCUUACCAGAAAGGGACGGCUAACUACGUGCCAGCAGCCGCGGUAAUACGUAGGUCCCGAGCGUUGUCCGGAUUUAUUGGGCGUAAAGCGAGCGCAGGCGGUUAGAUAAGUCUGAAGUUAAAGGCUAUGGCUUAACCAUAGUAGGCUUUGGAAACUGCUUAACUUGAGUGCAAGAGGGGAGAGUGGAAUUCCAUGUGUAGCGGUGAAAUGCGUAGAUAUAUGGAGGAACACCGGUGGCGAAAGCGGCUCUCUGGCUUGUAACUGACGCUGAGGCUCGAAAGCGUGGGGAGCAAACAGGAUUAGAUACCCUGGUAGUCCACGCUGUAAACGAUGAGUGCUAGGUGUUAGACCCUUUCCGGGGUUUUAGUGCCCGUAGCUAACGCAUUAAAGCACUCCGCCCUGGGGGAGUACGACCGCAAGGUUUG